AGAAUUGGAGAAACUAAAAGGCAUCCUUUUGGAGUAUGAACAAAAAAUGAGUGUCAAAGACAAAGCACUCGUGAAAUUGAAAGAAACUGUUAUAGAGUAUGAAAUGAAACAAACCACGCAUGACACAGAAUGCUUGAAAAUGAAGGACGAUCUAGAUGAUAAAGUGCAAGCAUUAGCAAAGAAGGACAGAG